GGUAACGGCUCACCAGGCGACGAUCCCUAGCUGGUCUGAGAGGAUGACCAGCCACACUGGAACUGAGACACGGUCCAGACUCCUACGGGAGGCAGCAUG
rnacentral:rRNA from 1 species